rnacentral:tRNA from 1 species
GGGUCCAUAGCUCAGCUGGUUUAGAGCAUCUGCCCUACAAGCAGAGGGUCAUAGGUUCGAAUCCUAUUAGACCCA